rnacentral:rRNA from 1 species
UACGUAGGGUGCAAGCGUUGUCCGGAAUUAUUGGGCGUAAAGAGCUCGUAGGCGGUUUGUCGCGUCUGCUGUGAAAACCCGGGGCUCAACCCCGGGCCUGCAGUCGAUACGGGCAGACUAGAGUGCGGUAGGGGAGACUGGAAUUCCUGGUGUAGCGGUGAAAUGCGCAGAUAUCAGGAGGAACACCGGUGGCGAAGGCGGGUCUCUGGGCCGUAACUGACGCUGAGGAGCGAAAGCGUGGGGAGCGGACAGG